UACGAAGGGGGCUAGCGUUGCUCGGAAUCACUGGGCGUAAAGCGCACGUAGGCGGAUUGUUAAGUCAGGGGUGAAAUCCUGGAGCUCAACUCCAGAACUGCCUUUGAUACUGGCGAUCUUGAGUCCGGGAGAGGUGAGUGGAACUCCGAGUGUAGAGGUGAAAUUCGUAGAUAUUCGCAAGAACACCAGUGGCGAAGGCGGACUCACUGGCCCGGUACUGACGCUGAGGUGCGAA
rnacentral:rRNA from 1 species